GACCUCAAAUCGGGUGGGACUACCCGCUGAACUUAAGCAUAUCAAUAAGCGGAGGAAAAGAAACUAACAAGGAUUCCCCUAGUAACGGCGAGUGAAGAGGGAAAAGCUCAAAUUUUGAAUCUGGUGUCUUUGACUCCCGAGUUGUAAUCUAGAGAAGUGUUUUCCGUGUCGGACCGUGCACAAGUUCCCUGGAACGGGGCGUCAUAGAGGGUGAGAAUCCCGUAUAUGGCACGGACCGCCGAUGCUCUGUGAUACACUCUCAACGAGUCGAGUUGUUUGGGAAUGCAGCUCAAAAUGGGUGGUAAAUUCCAUCUAAAGCUAAAUAUUGGCGAGAGACCGAUAGCGAACAAGUACCGUGAGGGAAAGAUGAAAAGCACUUUGGAAAGAGAGUGAAACAGUACGUGAAAUUGUUGAAAGGGAAGCGUUUGAAGUCAG
rnacentral:rRNA from 1 species